CCUAAACCCUCUCAUCUGCUUCGCAAUGUUGUCAUCAUCGUCUUUCCCCAAACCUCCGACCUCGCCGCCUACCUUCGACGCCCCCGUAAUGCCAUUGAAGAGCUCCAGAGCAGCCAGUGCUCCACCGGUCCAAAAGGGUUUUUCUGCAGUGAUUGGAGUAGUUAAGUCAGGCUUUAAUACUUCGUGAAUUGAACGGUUGAUAAAGAUCCUAACAAGAGGAACAAACUAGUUCAAGACUUGAAUGAUUUAACUGUGGUGUACUUCAAUCAGCCAUUGAAGCCAAAGAAGAUGAAUCACAGAGAGUUACGUGAUUUGAAGGAAGUGAAUGAAGAGGUUGCCAUGUACAAGGUCAGGUUACUCGAUCUUUUCCCCCUCCCCCCCCUAAUGGUUUUUUUUUUAUAUAUAAUUUGUUUGAUAUGUUCAGUGUGUAUUGAUCUUGGAUUAUAAUCAUUUUCCUUCCAUCAGUUUAAGGAUUAUGAUACCAAGAACUCUGGUAUUUUGAAAGAAAUCUGCAGAAACUGUCCUGCAGUACAGCCUUCUUUGGUACUUCUUUUUCCUGACUUACUGACCUCCAAAUGACCUGAAUUUUUGAUAUGUUUCACUUCUGUUAGUUAACAAAGGAUCUGGAAAGUUUCAUCGCAUUUCGACGUAAAGUGAAUGUUCUGUG